rnacentral:rRNA from 1 species
GAUGAACGCUGGCGGCGUGCCUAAUACAUGCAAGUCGAGCGAACAGACGAGGAGCUUGCUCCUCUGACGUUAGCGGCGGACGGGUGAGUAACACGUGGAUAACCUACCUAUAAGACUGGGAUAACUUCGGGAAACCGGAGCUAAUACCGGAUAAAAUGUUGAACCGCAUGGUUCAAUAGUGAAAGACGGUCUUGCUGUCGCUUAUAGAUGGAUCCGCGCCGCAUUAGCUAGUUGGUAAGGUAACGGCUUACCAAGGCAACGAUGCGUAGCCGACCUGAGAGGGUGAUCGGCCACACUGGAACUGAGACACGGUCCAGACUCCUACGGGAGGCAGCAGUAGGGAAUCUUCCGCAAUGGGCGAAAGCCUGACGGAGCAACGCCGCGUGAGUGAAGAAGGUCUUCGGAUCGUAAAACUCUGUUAUUAGGGAAGAACAAAUGUGUAAGUAACUAUGCACGUCUUGACGGUACCUAAUCAGAAAGCCACGGCUAACUACGUG